GGUCAGGAUGAACGAUUCGGAAUGAAAUUAUUAAUUGGGUUUAAAAUCAAGGGUUUAAACUGGGGUUGUAAUAUAAUGUAGGGAUACAAAUUAGGGUUGUAUUAUAGUCCAAAUAGAAUGAUAACUGCUGUUCUUUACAUUUAGUCACAUGAGUCAAGUUGUAUUUACUUUGGAUUAUAAUUUGUUGAAUUGAGUUGCCUGGAGAUCCUAAACAUUCGACAAUUAUUCUACGUCCCCGCUGUAGGACAAAUCACAAUGUCUUGUAUCAACGGUGUGACCCGCACGGCGCAAGUUCUCUUAGCAGCUGCUUGGUUCCCUCAGAAUGAAACUGCGACGGCUUUUGUACUUCCCGUGUUUGUUAAGACUUUGGCUGGCAUUAUCAGCUCACUGAUAUACUCAUACGCCAUCCCAAAGGUCGUUUCUGCUACUGAAAAAGGAACUGAGUUUUUUUUUUCGGUAACAAUCUUGUUUACAGCUACACACGGAUUUUUUAGUGUCGCCGUUUUUCUCGCGCUUGUGCUUGUAUUUUACUGUGACAAUAACCCACCAUCUCCACCUAGUCGAUCCCAGAAAAA